rnacentral:misc_RNA from 1 species
GAAAUGCGAUAAGUAGUGUGAAUUGCAGAAUUCAGUGAAUCAUCGAAUCUUUGAACGCACAUUGCGCCCGCCAGUAUUCUGGCGGGCAUGCCUGUUCGAGCGUCAUUUCAACCAUCAAGCCCCGGGCUUGUGUUGGGGACCUGCGGCUGCCACAGGCCCUGAAAAGCAGUGGCGGGCUCGCUGUCACACCGAGCGUAGUAGCAUACAUCUCGCUCUGGGCGUGCUGCGGGUUCCGGCCGUUAAACCACCUUCGUAACCCAAGGUUGACCUCGGAUCAGGUAGGAAGACCCGCUGAACUUAAGC